GAGAGGAAACCUGCCGGAAAUUUUUGGAGAAAUUUCAGCUAGUGUUGAGUGUUCUCUUGGUCACAAUUCCAGAAAAGCCCCAGUCCUUGUUACCAACAAUAUGAUGUGAUUCCACUGUGUGCUGAACAUCUCCUUCUGAGGGCUUCCCUGGUGGUGCAGUGGUUGAGAAUCUGCCUGCCAAUGCAGGGGACACGGGUUCGAGCCCUGGUCUGGGAAGAUCCCACAUGCCGCAGAGCAACUAGGCCUGUGAGCCACAACUACUGAGCUUGUGCGUCUGGAGCCUGUGCUUCACAACGAGAGAGGCCGCGAUAGUGAGAGGCCCGCGCACCGCAAUGAAGAGUAGCCCCCACUCUUCGCAACUAGAGAAAGGCCUCACACAAACGAAGACCCAAC